AUGGGGCACCCCACAACUAUUGAGGGGUCUAUAGGGCAGCACAGGGCUAUGGGGAGAGCUAUAGGGCACCCCACAACUAUUGAGGGGUCUAUAGGGCAGCACAGGGCUAUGGGGAGAGCUAUAGGGCACCGCACAACUAUUGAGGGGUCUAUAGGGCAGCACUAUGGGGAGAGCUAUAGGGCACCCCACAACUAUUGAGGGGUCUAUAGGGCAGCACAGGGCUAUGGGGAGAGCUAUAGGGCACCCCACAACUAUUGAGGGGGGUCUAUAGGGCAGCACAGGGCUAUGGGGGGAGCUAUAGGGCACCCCACAACUAUUGAGAAGGGUCUAUGGGGCAGCGCAGGGCUAUGGGGAGCUCUGGUUGGCACCCCACAACUAUUGAGGGGUCUAUAGGGCAGCACAGGGCUAUGGGGAGAGCUAUAGGGCACCCCACAACU